ACUUCUUCUCCAAUUCAGCAGAUACGACGAUCCCUUCUUCCUCAAAAUCGUCGACGAUCUCUUCUUCCUCAAACUUAGACGACGAUCUCUUCGUCUCUCUCUCCGCCAGUCUCUCUCUUUCUCGCCUGUCUCUCUCUCCGCUUCUCUCUCUCUCGCCGUCUGUCUCUUUUCGCCUCUCUCUCCGCCUCUGUCUCUCGAACUAGAGCAAACCCAGGUGUGGAAAAUUGAGGUGAUGUUGAAGAAGUAUGUUGAUUGUGAAGAUGAUGGUGAUGUGAGAACAAUGGCUAGGGCGAUGCAAAAGAAGUUUGCAAAGUAUUGGAAUCAAUAUAGUGUGAUUCUAGCUAUGGGGGCUGCUCUAAAUCCGAGGUUGAAACUGGAUAUACUUCGAUCAGCUUAUCAAAAGAUUGACCCAAGGACUUCUGAGGAAAAGGUUCAAGUUGUUAGGGACAAUCUGAUUUUGCUUUAUGAAGAAUAUCAAAAAUCAGCAAAUCCUUCAAAGUUUUCUACAACAUUAACUCCACAUGAGCUUCUCACAUAGUCACCACUUGAAGAUGAUAUGGAUGAUGAUCUCUUUGAGCUUGAAAAUAGCCUCAAAUCUAGUUCAAGAAAUGCUAAGUCAAAUCUGGAAACCUAUUUGGAUCUUGAACCAAGACUAGAGAUGAAGACUUUUGAAGACAUGGAAGUUUUAAAUUUUUGGAAAUAAAAUCAGCAUCGAUAUGGCAAUCUUGCUUCAAUGGAAUCUGACUUACUGAGCAUACCCAUCACCACUGUUGCAGCUGAGUCAGCUUUCAGUGUUGCGUCCUUUCAGAAAUCGAAUUCUUCCCAAAAAUGUGCAAGCACUAAUUGCCACUCGAAAUUGGCUAAGAGGAUUUGAAGAGUUUGAAGGAAAUAUUGAAGAUUACUUCGAUGAUGAAGAUGAUGAAUCUGUAAAAAGUAGCUCAAAAGUUAGAGACUCUAGCACAUGAAGCAAGAUGAAGAUGUGGGGUUGUCAUUCUGUGACAAGGAAGUAAUAGAGUCAAUGACAAAUUGAAAAGAAAGAAGUCAUAUGCGUUAGAAGAGCCCAAGAGCAGAAGGAACCUUUAUCAAAAUAGAACUUUUUUACAAUUUUUACAAUGUCUUAGACUUGUUUUUUUUUCAAACUAAGUGUCGUGGUUUGCUAUUUAUAUAAGACUCAAACCUUUGAUUUAAUGUUAUUUGAUUUAACUUUUUAUAUGA